AUCCAGCUGACGAGUCCCAAAUAGGACGAACUGUGCGCCCUGGAU
rnacentral:hammerhead_ribozyme from 1 species